GCAGCAUGAUCUAGCUUGCUAGAUUGAUGGCGAGUGGCGAACGGGUGAGUAAUACAUCGGAACGUGCCCUGUAGUGGGGGAUAACUAGUCGAAAGAUUAGCUAAUACCGCAUACGACCUGAGGGUGAAAGUGGGGGACCGCAAGGCCUCAUGCUAUAGGAGCGGCCGAUGUCUGAUUAGCUAGUUGGUGAGGUAAAGGCUCACCAAGGCGACGAUCAGUAGCUGGUCUGAGAGGACGAUCAGCCACACUGGGACUGAGACACGGCCCAGACUCCUACGGGAGGCAGCAGUGGGGAAUUUUGGACAAUGGGCGAAAGCCUGAUCCAGCAAUGCCGCGUGUGUGAAGAAGGCCUUCGGGUUGUAAGGCACUUUUGUCCGGAAAGAAAUGGCUCUGGUUAAUACCUGGGGUCGAUGACGGUACCGGAAGAAUAAGGACCGGCUAACUACGUGCCAGCAGCCGCGGUAAUACGUAGGGUCCAAGCGUUAAUCGGAAUUACUGGGCGUAAAGCGUGCGCAGGCGGUUGUGCAAGACCGAUGUGAAAUCCCCGAGCUUAACUUGGGAAUUGCAUUGGUGACUGCACGGCUAGAGUGUGUCAGAGGGGGGUAGAAUUCCACGUGUAGCAGUGAAAUGCGUAGAGAUGUGGAGGAAUACCGAUGGCG
rnacentral:rRNA from 1 species